GAUUAACGCUGGCGGCGUGCAUAACACAUGCAAGUCGAACGAUGAAACUUAGUAGACUUCUUCGGAAAGACACUAAGCGGAUUAGUGGCGAACGGGUGAGUAACGCGUGAGUAACCUGCCUUACACAAGGGGAUAGCCUUUGGAAACGACGAAUAAUACCCUAUAAAACCAUAAAAGCACAUGCUAGAAUGGUCAAAGUGAUAGCGGUGUAAGAUGGACUUGCGUCUGAUUAGCUAGUUGGUGAGAUAAAAGCUCACCAAGGCAACGAUCAGUAGCCGGCUUGAGAGAGUGUACGGCCACAUUGGGACUGAGACACGGCCCAGACUCCUACGGGAGGCAGCAGUGGGGAAUUUUGCACAAUGGGGGAAACCCUGAUGCAGCGACGCCGCGUGAUUUAGAAGGCCUUCGGGUUGUAAAAAUCUUUUGUAUAGGAAGAAAAUGACAGUACUAUACGAAUAAGGUCCGGCUAAUUACGUG
rnacentral:rRNA from 1 species